GACGAACGCUGGCGGCGUGCUUAACACAUGCAAGUCGAACGGAAAGGCCCUGCUUUUGUGGGGUGCUCGAGUGGCGAACGGGUGAGUAACACGUGAGUAACCUGCCCUUGACUUUGGGAUAACUUCAGGAAACUGGGGCUAAUACCGGAUAGGAGCUCCUGCUGCAUGGUGGGGGUUGGAAAGUUUCGGCGGUUGGGGAUGGACUCGCGGCUUAUCAGCUUGUUGGUGGGGUAGUGGCUUACCAAGGCUUUGACGGGUAGCCGGCCUGAGAGGGUGACCGGACCCAGUUGGACGGAGAUCCUGCCCAGAGUGUUACGGGGGGCAGGAGGGAGGAAGAUGGCACAAGGCGUGGAAGCGUGGUGCCGCAACGCCGGGUGGGGGAUGCCGGCCGGCGUGUGUCACGCCGUUCUCGCGUGUGAGGGAGUGGGAGGGGCGGAAAGGGGAAAAGAGCCACCGGAUAACUCCGUGCCAGCAGACGCGGUUAUAUCCGAGACAACAAUUUUAAUC
rnacentral:rRNA from 1 species